AUAAAUUUAAAAAAAUAAAGGCCCAAGACUCUGUAGGUGGGGGAGGAAUCUGCAUCUCCACCAUAAUGGUGUGAGUUGGUCUCCAUCCUGACAUACAAUAACCAGGCCUCAACUUGCCGCCCAGGCUUCCCCCCAAUCCAGGGCCUGGAGGCCACCAAGCCCACCCAGCAGAGUCUAGUGGGCGUCCUGGAGACUGCCAUGAAGCUGGCUAACCAGGAUGACGGCCCAGAGGAUGAAGAGGAUGAGGUGCCUAAGAAGCAGAACAGCCCCGUAGCCCCCACAGCCCAGCCAAAAGCCCCACCCACAAGGGCUCCCCAGUCAGGAUCAGCCCCAGCAGCCAAAGCGCCCCCCAAAGCCACAUCCACCAGAGCCCAGCAGCAGCUGGCCUUCCUAGAGGGCCGCAAGAAGCAGCUCCUGCAGGCCGCACUGCGAGCCAAGCAGAAAAACGACGUGGAGGGCGCCAAGAUGCAUCUGCGCCAGGCCAAGGGACUGGAGCCUAUGCUGGAGGCCUCACGCAAUGGGCUGCCUGUGGACAUCACCAAGGUGCCGCCCGCCCCUGUCAACAAGGACGACUUUGCCCUGGUCCAGCGGCCCGGCCCGGGUCUGUCUC
rnacentral:sRNA from 1 species